GCUGCAGGUACUCAGAUGAAAACUACUUGCAUGAAAGAAUUGAGACAACAAGAUGAAUUAGAGGAGCAGCACAGUUUUUAAAGUAUCUAGUGUAUAUAAGGACAAGCCAUUCUCAGUCAAGCAUGAAACUGAAUCUGAGGAAAAGAAGAAAGCUGAAAACACACUGAGGAUUAUGGGAGAGGGGCAAGUGCAUGAAGCUUCUCAAUGACAUACAGACACUCUAAAAGCUCAAGAGAUCAAUUAUUCAACUUCAAGAACUGAAAUUUGAACACAGAUUUUGAGCUUCCAAAUCAGACUGCUGUUAAACUGGCUCACUCCAUAUACUCUGUGCUACAGCAAUUUAAUAUUUCAUUAAAAAGCAUUAAUGAUGGCUCCAGUGAAUUUCUCCUAUUCAAGCUCCAUAAUGACAGCAGUUCAAGCGAGUGUUGAUCUCUGAGUGAUGCAACACAAAAACAUCGCCUAACAAAGGAACACUUGGAGUACUACUCAUAUUCUCUGCAACUUGAGGAGAAAAAGAAGUGUUCUAUAAGAAGUUUGGACAAGACUCUGCAAGAAGUUAAGAGGUCCUUAAAGGCAACUGUGAAUUAACGGAGACUAGUUUUGAGAAAAUCAGUCCUGAUUUGUUUCUCCUGGAGUUUUCUUCUUUAUGUGAUCCUUCAUAAAAGCUGCUAAUAUGGGAAAGAUUGAAAUCAGCAAGUUUCUGGCUGUAAGCUAAAAGAGGCUCUUGAAUCAUAUUUCCGCCUGCUUAGCAAAUUUCUCUUGCGACAAUUGGAUGUUAUUUGGGGUUCCAUACUAGCAGGAAGAAGUACAAGCAAAGCUAAGUCAUUUUGAGAAUAAAUAUUAUCUCUC
rnacentral:lncRNA from 1 species